rnacentral:rRNA from 1 species
CGUUCCCGGGCCUUGUACACACCGCCCGUCACACCAUGGGAGUUGGGUGAACCUGAAAACGCCGAGUUAACCGUAAGGAGACAAGCGUUUAUGGGUUGACCGAUGACUGGGGUG